ensembl:misc_RNA Vault Vault RNA
GGGUUGGCAUUAGCUCAAGCGGUUAAUUCUUGAAGCCGGACCUUUCAUCCGUCUACUCCCUGUGCUGGGGUUCAAAACCCGCGGGUGCUUUCUGACCCUUUU